rnacentral:snRNA from 1 species
AUCACUUCUCGGCCUUUUGGCUAAGAUCAAGUGUAAAAGUUAUGGUCAUUUAUUUAUUUGUUUUAAGUAGGCUCUACUCCCAGAGUGGAGCCCAACGUGAGGCUUGAACUCACGAUCCUGA